ACGUAGGCGGUGAACUACGUCACUAGACAGGCCCACUUUUGGGUGUGGCUAGGGUCCUGUACAGAGGAAGGAAUAAAAGACUGUUAGCAGAACAUGUCGCCCUCUUUCCAGCUUCCAGUUCGGCGGUGGAAAAAUACUGGGCUCAUGUGGUGCGCUCCCUGACCAGCAGGAAAGACAAACACCAGACAAGGAUUCUUCCCAAAUCAUGCUUUAUUGGAGCCUCCUGGUUGAAGGGAGAGCAGGAAGCGAGAGACCCCGAGCAAAGACUGCAGCUGCUUAUAUAGGAACUAAGGCGACGUGCACUCGUCCUAUUGGUCGAGCACCUCCCCCCCCCCAGACAUUCCAGGCUUCCCGAUUGGUCUAGCAAGCUGAGGACAAUACGCAUGCUCGAGUUGGUGAUUCUGGUUAUGACCUUACAUGGAGUUGUUUACUCCAACCCUGCAGGGGCCCAGCGCCAUCUUGGAAUGGCGGCCACACAUCUCGGCUCCCUGCAGGCUCAUCUGGGUUGCUUGUUUUUCUCUUCUUUUCUGCAUGUCUACUCUAACACCCGUGAGGCGGCACUCUUCCGUAUCACAGAGCCUGGCCAGCAUCCUCUCUGCAUUUGCCAUUGUGUGUGAUGCUGUGGAAAUUCCGGCAAGGUCGUGGAAACACAGCAGCUUGCAGAGCACCUUCCGGCUCUAUGAAAAGUAGUUGGCAGAGAGGAAGCUGCUGGCGUGUUUCAGUUUGAUUUCUCUGUAUCACACAACCCAGAUGCAUGAUGAUCUCCGGUCAUAGGAUCACCUAGUUCCAGUAGAGUUCCAAUUACCACCCAAGAGCCUGAGCCAACCCCUCCUCUUCCUUAUAAGGGGUCACAUCUGCACACCUGAAGCCACGCCCAUAGGAUGAGGCCACCUCAGAAAACCCACCAGCAAAACAAGAUGCCACAACAAGGGAUAGAAACUGUGACAAUCAGCCGGGCAUUGGUGGCACAGUCCUUUAAAACCAGCACUUGGGAAGCAGAGGCAGCUGAUCUCUGUGAGUUCAAGGCCAGCUGGGUCUACAAGGCGAGUUCCAGGACAGGCUCCAAAGCCACAGAGAAACCCUGUCUCGAAAAAAGCAAAACAACAACAACAACAAAAACCGAUUACAAUCAGUCUCUGAGGGCUUCAUUUGCAAUGCAAAAGAAUUUCAGUUCUUUCAAAAAUAAAUACUUGUGUGCAAGAGUUAAUCAUUAACAAAAUCUCGUAAAGGAAAGCCAGGUUUCCAGAGGAGCUUACUAAACUCAUGACGGCACCUCUGGGAUGGGGCUAAGUUUGUCUUUCGUUGGAUGUCUGGGCCUUGAGGUUUGUGUUCAAGCUUUUGUUUUCCUUUUUCUAGUAAGACAGAGGUCAGAAGAGUUGCAAGGACCACAGCUACUCCACUUGUACAUUUGUUAGGUAGAACUGAGGUGUGAGUUGUACCCUCUGCUGGUCUGUUGUAACUCCUGGGCCCCAGCCCCUGCUAUAAAGACUCAAUUUAAAAAAAAAUCAGAGUGUCUUAACCAACAGAGGGCCCUAGACAGCCUAGGCAGUGAAGUGUGAGGCGACCAAGAAAGCUACAGUGGUCAUUUGGUAGCUGCCGUCUCCAGUUGGCCCGAAAAGCCCAUUUUCGGUUAAACGGAGGCUGCAGAUAGGUUGUUCCCCAUUGUAUGGAGAACUAAGGGGCCUUUGCCUGCAAGUGCGCUGAUGAAGGAUUUGUAUCCUCUAAAGGACUACAUUGCAGUAUCAUUUAUGUUGCAGUUUUGGACUCCAACCCUUUGUAGACACUUUC